GUUUGAUCAUGGCUCAGAUUGAACGCUGGCGGCAGGCUUAACACAUGCAAGUCGAGCGGGGGAAGGUAGCUUGCUACUGGACCUAGCGGCGGACGGGUGAGUAAUGCUUAGGAAUCUGCCUAUUAGUGGGGGACAACAUCUCGAAAGGGAUGCUAAUACCGCAUACGUCCUACGGGAGAAAGCAGGGGAUCUUCGGACCUUGCGCUAAUAGAUGAGCCUAAGUCGGAUUAGCUAGUUGGUGGGGUAAAGGCCUACCAAGGCGACGAUCUGUAGCGGGUCUGAGAGGAUGAUCCGC
rnacentral:rRNA from 1 species